AUGAGUGGUCGCGAGCGCAGUAGAAACCGAACCUGGACGUUGGAUUCGGACCUUGACUCGCGUGCGUCCCAGACAGUGGGCAGUUCGGCAGGGGGUCUUGAGGAGGACAAGGAGGUCGCCUCGCAAGCUGUCCUGUUCUUCAUCAACGGUUCGAGGAGAGGUGCAGUGCACCUGUGCUCGAGUAUAGCCGAGAUACUGCGCGAGAAUCAACGUCUGCACAGGACCGUAGAGAUCCAGAGGGUCCGAAUAGAGGAGCUGAUGUGCUCUCUGUCCACUGCUCCGGCUGCUCCCGUGGGUCUUUCAGAUUCCAACAGAUCCCAGACCAGCUCCACCUCUCCCUUCUCCUGCCUCCCCUCCAUCUCUCUCGCUACCUCCUCCCCCUACCUCCUCUCUCCCCCAGCCAGUGUCUCACCCAGUGUGUCCUCCUUAUACAGCUCUGGGAGGGGCAGCCUGUGCUCUAACACCACACCCCCUUGCCUCCCUCCUCUGGUCCCCCUUCACAACCUUACCCCUCAGAGGAGACAGGCAGCAGUUCUGCCCUCUGUGAAAGAGUAUGAGAAGGAGGAUCCAGGAGAUGAGAGGAGAGGAGAGGAAGGCAGGAGAGGAGAUGAGAGGGGGAAGAAGAGAGGGGGAGAACGGAGACAAGAAGACAACAGUCUUAUUCUACCCUCUGUAGAAGAAGCUCUGGGAUCACAACCCCUACCCAUCAUGCCUCACUCCUCCCAUAGUGACAGCAUAGCCAGAGAAAGAGUCAGGAGGGAGAAGGGCAACCUGUCGUCUGAGCAGGGUGGACAGACAUCGGACCGAAAACACAUGCUGAAGAAAAGAGAGAAAGUCCUAAGGAGAAGUGCCUCUUGUGGACCUCUGAGGGGAGAGAUGGAGGAGACAAAAGAGGAGGAGAGGUGGUGUCUGGCCCCAGACUGUCCUGACUCCUCGUCCACAGUCCAAGCAGCAGGAGGGCUGGACACCAGGGCAUUAACCACCAGGAGGAAGCACCGUCUGUGUGUGAAUGACCGUGUAGUGCUGGAGAGAAGGACGAGAGGAGAGGAGAGGAGAAGAGGAGCUGUGAGGUUUAUCGGACCACUGGAAAACACUGAGUCUAGAGACAUCUAUAUCGGAGUGGAAUUGGACACAGCCAGUGGAGAAAAUGAAGGCAGUCUCCAUGGUAACAGGUACUUCAGGUGUAAGCCCAACCAUGGAACAUUCACCACCAUCACGGGGAUCAGAAAGCUCUCUCGAUCAUCCCACUCCAAGUCUAGAAGCUCCAAACCUCCAGAGGAGGGUGACUCUGGGCCGGGGAGCUCUGCAGUGGCAAUGGGGAGGAGCAGCUGGAACGUUGUGAGUAGGAGCAGGAACGGGCUCAGAAGGACCUGGAACCAGAUGGACAUUAGAGCUCAGGUCCAUUCAGAGCCAGGAGGACCCAGAGACAAGACUACAGUGGAGAACCCUGGACUGGACUGA
rnacentral:lncRNA from 8 species